AAUUAACUUUUUGGUGUCUUAUGAUGAAGCUUCAUAGGGCAGAUUCUGAGUUGAGAAAUAAAAUUUCUCUCCACUGAUCCUCUCUAUGCCAUCUGAAGACACUCUAUAUUGC